GACGAACGCUGGCGGCGUGCUUAACACAUGCAAGUCGAGCGGUAAGGCUCCUUCGGGAGUACACGAGCGGCGAACGGGUGAGUAACACGUGAGCAAUCUGCCCUUCUCAUCGGAAUAAGCGUUGGAAACGACGUCUAAUGCCGAAUACGACCUCCUUUCGCAUGAUCGGAGGUGGAAAGCUCCGGCGGAGAAGGAUGAGCUCGCGGCCUAUCAGCUAGNGGUGUGGGUAAUGGCCCACCAAGGCGACGACGGGUAGCCGGCCUGAGAGGGUGACCGGCCACACUGGGACUGAGACACGGCCCAGACUCCUACGGGAGGCAGCAGUGGGGAAUAUUGGACAAUGGGCGAAAGCCUGAUCCAGCAACGCCGCGUG
rnacentral:rRNA from 1 species